UGGAAAUGUAUCUGUGGGGUAGUGGCUGGGUCAAAGGUCAGUGCUGGAGGAGGUCAUCAGGUCACGGAGAGGCUAUGACUGCAGGCUGGCUUGCGCGCCGGCCCCGGGCGAUCCAAGGCUCCUCCCUUCUCCUCACCCCUCCCCUGUCCUCAGGAUGUGGGUUCUGGCUACCGCGCCCAGCGUGGGGACCACUUUCAGGGAUGCAGCUUCGGAGAGUCAUGUGGUACUGAGAUCACCCCCGCCUCCACCACCCACCCAGGCUGGGCCUGGACCCUGCUGAGGCCUCUGGAUGAACUUGAAGACUCCGCGGGGGCGGGGGCGGAAGCGGAAACCAGCUUGUAAAUUCCUUGCGUCUUACACCUGCAGCCUACGGCCUGGGGCGCUGGCCUCUUUCCUCGGUGUCUCCCUGCCCUCCGUGUCCGUGCGGGUUUGCAAAACAACAGUACCUACGUUGUAUGGAUAAAUAUUGCCGAGUUGCCGGCUUGAGACGCCAUCCCACUGUGUCAUCAAACUUCUGACAUGCUGACUUGAGAGGGAAAGCGAGUUCUCAGCGCGCUUUUCGUCACGUCUGGUGUCUUGAAUCGGAUGGGUUGGACCUUGUCUUGGGAUCUGCGUUUUCUCCAUCUGGGUAACAAGGCUCUCGGGCCCUCUGUGCUUUGUUCCUGCUGGGCCACCUGGUGAUGUGAGCUAAGUGUGGGAGCUGAUUGACCAGCUGGGAAGUUAUUGUGAUCAAGACCUGGAAUGUUGGCGGCUUGGCCUGGGAGGUUCACGAGGGACCCAGAGAU